rnacentral:rRNA from 1 species
UACGUAGGUGACAAGCGUUGUCCGGAUUUACUGGGCGUAAAGAGCGCGCAGGCGGUCGAUCAAGUCGAGUGUGAAAGCCCCCGGCUCAACUGGGGAGGGUCAUUCGAUACUGAUCGACUCGAAGGCAGGAGAGGGUAGUGGAAUUCCCGGUGUAGUGGUGAAAUGCGUAGAUAUCAGGAGGAACACCGGUGGCGAAGGCGGUUCUCUGGGCCUUACCUGACGCUGAGGAGCGAAAGCGUGGGGAGCAAACAGG